GUUUUUUGGAACAUCCUAAAAGAAGGAAUCCAGCACCCCGGCUCUCCACCCAGACCACCUUCGUCAGGGUCCGAUGUUGCAUUUUGAAAUAAAAGGCCUCUGAAAACUGG